rnacentral:pre_miRNA from 1 species
ACAACAUACGGACCGUAGGUCUAAUGAGUAAUAUCACCCGCUCGGUGAAAAUCUUCCUUUUCUCGU